CAAGGCUAUCACAACAAUCCCUGCAGAGCUUUUUACAAAAAGAUUACUUUGAUGAUUUGACUUGAUAUGUAACUUGAAAUAUGUGCAUUGAAAAUAGAAUGUUGACAUGGACUCUGAUGCCACUGUUUCUGGCUGGUGUUUUUUGCAGUAUGUGGAAAGUGGAAUAUCAGCGGGAACGUAUCUGUGCAGUCUGUUAUCGUUCCUUGUUCAUUUUACUAUCCUGACCACUUGAGAGUGAAAACAUUCACGUGGAUUCAUGUACACUCUCAUUUCAAGGGUAGAUUCAUCACUGAGAGGAACUUCAAAAAAGUCCCAACAAGAUUCCAGUAUAUUGGUGACAAACGUUGCAAUUGUUCUUUAAAAAUACAACAAGUAGAGCAUAAUGAUACAGGAAAAUAUAUCUUCAGAUUUAUAACUAAGUCUGAAAAGGGCAAAUGGACUGGUAAAGUUGGCUCAACAUUAAAGGUUGUUGAUUUGAACAUUUCUGUGACAAAACCUUGUGGAAACAGAACAAACAAGGAAGGCGACUCUGUGAAUCUGACGUGUAUUAACGGCUGUGAUGGCGGUAACCUUUCAUCUGCUUUCACCUGGUGAAAGCAACAUCAAAACUGACAUUUCCUCUACACAGGGCUUGGUUUCAUAUAUAUACCGGCAUGCACGUUCUGGUUGAAGCCUUGCAUUGAGUCUGUGGUGUGAGUGACCUGAUUUCGAGGGCUUAUACAAGACAACCCUAAAUUUAACAAUACAAUACAGGAAGCUUUGGCUAGCAGAAGAAAAAACAAAACACGAAAGCAGUAAAUGUAACCUGCAGAAACUCUUAGAUUAAAAAGCAGAACGAUUUUCAACAUGAGCGU